rnacentral:rRNA from 1 species
UACGGAGGAUGCAAGCGUUAUCCGGAUUCAUUGGGUUUAAAGGGUGCGCAGGCGGAUCGUUAAGUCAGGGGUGAAAUCCCACAGCUCAACUGUGGAACUGCCCUUGAUACUGACAGUCUAGAGUAUAGUUGAAGUGGGCGGAAUGUGUCAUGUAGCGGUGAAAUGCUUAGAUAUGACACAGAACACCGAUCGCGAAGGCAGCUCGCUAAGCUAUAACUGACGCUCAUGCACGAAAGCGUGGGGAUCAAACAGG